rnacentral:rRNA from 1 species
GACGAACGCUGGCGGCGUGCCUAAUACAUGCAAGUCGAACGCUUUUUCUUUCACCGGAGCUUGCUCCACCGAAAGAAAAAGAGUGGCGAACGGGUGAGUAACACGUGGGUAACCUGCCCAUCAGAAGGGGAUAACACUUGGAAACAGGUGCUAAUACCGUAUAACACUAUUUUCCGCAUGGAAGAAAGUUGAAAGGCGCUUUUGCGUCACUGAUGGAUGGACCCGCGGUGCAUUAGCUAGUUGGUGAGGUAACGGCUCACCAAGGCAACGAUGUACAGCCGACCUGGGAGGGUGAUCGGCCACUGUGGGACUGAGACACGGCGCAGACUCCUGCGGGAGGCAGCAGUCGGGAAUCUUCGGCAAUGGACGAAAGUCUGACCGAGCAACGCCGCGUGAGUGAAGAAGGUUUUCGGAUCGUAAAACUCUGUUGUUAGAGAAGAACAAGGAUGAGAGUAAAACGUUCAUCCCUUGACGGUAUCUAACCAGAAAGCCACGGCUAACUACGUGCCAGCCGCCGCAGUAA